ACCUGCUUGACCUUAAAGGUUGUGUUCUGGGAGUCUGAAGUGGAAACUUUCACGACAAAAUUAGCAGAGAAGGAUGUGUACCAACUCGAAACAGACAGAUAUAUAUGGGUUGCAGCUUGCAGAGCAGUCAUUUCACAAUGGGGCUGCUGGCGUGAAAGUGAUGCCUGGCAAAGUAAUGGAUGUAUUGAUACAGACCUCUAUUGGUUUAAAAGCACUGUGAUGUAUGAAAUAGAAGCAUUGCAGCAACUAGGAGGGAACUUGGUCAUUCAGCCUUCUUGUACU